GACGAGGGGUCCUAGCGUUGUUCGGAAUCAUUGGGCGUAAAGCGUAUGUAGGCGGCUUUUCAAGUCAGAUGUGAAAGCCCACGGCUUAACCGUGGAAAUGCAUUUGAAACUGCUAAGCUUGAGUGCGAAAGAGGAUGGUAGAAUUCCAGGUGUAGUGGUGAAAUACGUAGAUAUCUGGAGGAAUACCGGAGGCGAAGGCGGCCAUCUGGUUCGCUACUGACGCUGAGAUACGAAAGCGUGGGGAUCAAACAGG
rnacentral:rRNA from 1 species